rnacentral:rRNA from 1 species
AGUGAACGCUGGCGGUAGGCCUAACACAUGCAAGUCGAACGGCAGCACAGUAAGAGCUUGCUCUUACGGGUGGCGAGUGGCGGACGGGUGAGGAAUACAUCGGAAUCUACUUUUUCGUGGGGGAUAACGUAGGGAAACUUACGCUAAUACCGCAUACGACCUACGGGUGAAAGCAGGGGAUCUUCGGACCUUGCGCGAUUGAAUGAGCCGAUGUCGGAUUAGCUAGUUGGCGGGGUAAAGGCCCACCAAGGCGACGAUCCGUAGCUGGUCUGAGAGGAUGAUCAGCCACACUGGAACUGAGACACGGUCCAGACCCCUACGGGAGGCAGCAGUGGGGAAUAUUGGACAAUGGGCGCAAGCCUGAUCCAGCCAUACCGCGUGGGUGAAGAGGGCCUUCGGGUUGUAAAGCCCUUUUGUUGGGAAAGAAAAGCAGCAGGUUAAUACCCCGCUGUUCUGACGGUACCCAAAGAAUAAGCACCGGCUAACUUCGU